AAUAGGGGACGGAGAACUGAGUGGCGAGGAACACCGAACCCAACCCAAGCCAGCAGAGAGCGAGCGGGAAAAAUAUGGAAAAGCUACCAAAAAGCGAGCUCUCUGCCUCUUUCGCAUCAAAUUCUUGCUUCUGAAUCCGACGUCAAAGUUGUCGGUCACCGCCGCCGGAAUCUCUAUCGCCACCAACAACCAAUCUCGAUCCUUUGUUCUUCGUUGAAAUUUUAUUAUAUUUUCUUCUUUUUUUUUGUGUGUGUAGGAGAAACUGGAGCAUGGCUACGUUUGGAGGCUUUUCGAUCCGAGAGUAUACUUUGAAGAUGAGAAGCGUUGACGUGAAGAUAUGUUGGCCGUUCGGUGGAGAUGGGAAGGAGAAGAAGACGAAAGAAGAGAUGGAGAAAUUGCUUCCUCCGUUAAUGUGUCCGAAAUACCGGUGGUGGGAGGACGAGCUCGAGUUGGUGAGAUCUAAGCAAGUUGAUGAGAGGAAGGAGAAGGUUCUAGAAGAAACGGAGAAACCGGUCUCCGGCGACGGAAGCGGUUUGGUGUCGGAAAAGGCGGAUUUGGGGGCUGGAAAAGCGGGUUCGGGAACGGAGGAGGAGAAAUUGGCAAUGAUCUGUCCGGUCUGUCGGAGUUUUACUGCGUCAACGGUGAAUGCGGUGAACGCGCAUAUCGAUAAUUGUCUCGCUCAGGUGUCUUCCGAAGAAGGGAAGCAGACGAGAACGACGGCUGAAGCGGCGGCGGCAGUGAAGUCGAAGACGAGAACGCUGAAGAAGAGAUCUAUUGUGGAGAUCUUUAAGGCUGCGGAGCAGAUCGAGAAGGCGGAGGUUGAUUGUAAUGAAGAAGCGGAGCAGGUGUCUGAAGAGGAUUUGGAUUCUACAAAAGCUGCGAAAGCAUCGGAUGGUGUUGUGAAACGUAAAAGGAAGCAGAAGAUGUCGAGAGAGGAAGCCGUAGCUGUUGCAAGGAAACUGAAAUUGAAGAACAAGAGAAAGAAGAAAAAGAAAACGAAGAAGAGUGAGACUGCAGUCUUCGAUCCAUCGAAUAAAGGGAAGAAGGGAAAAAUUAGUAAACUAAAAGUUCCAUCUCAAGCUGAUAUCUCCGGACGAAAAAAAGUUUCAUUACACAAUAAGAGGUUGGGAAAGGACAUCUCAGAUACUGGUGUUAUCCCAAAAAAGAGACAAUCAAGCAUGAAAAGUUCCUGUACACAAAAAAUUGUACAAGAUUCCGAAUUAGUACCAGAACACCAGCAGCAUGAAAAACCAGUUUUUCCCAUUCACAGUAUUCUGAAGAAUCGGGCAACAGCCAUUUCCAGUGAGUGCUCUGCUGGUUUAGGUGAUAUACAGGGUGGUAAUCAAAUAAACCUUAGACGAGGUCAACAAUCAGACAAACAUGUCAGAUUUUCAGGUAAGGAUGACAUACUUGGACCAAUAAAGAAAGGGUGCCCUUCCAUUGAUCUGCCUCAAGUGCAAAGCCUUGGAAAAGUAUUUCCUGAUGUCAUAGAUGCUCUACCAUUACAUGAUCAAUCUAUGGAAAAUAAUAAAAAAUUAUCCCCUGCGAUUGAGGCCCUGGAGGUGGAUGGAAGUAAUGAAAAUGUUGCUGUUAGCAUUAGAAACGGAACUGAGUUCCUACCUGCACAUGAAAAUAUAUGUUUGGAUGAUAAUCACAGUUGUCCCAUUUCACCAACAUCUCCAAGUCAACUUAAAAGAGAUUUCCAGGAUAAAGAAAAAACUCCAGAUGAAUUUGUAGACCUCAACCAGGAAUUACAGCAUGAUGAUAAUUUGUAUUUGCUCAAUCAAGGUAACCUGACUGCCUCACAGUCUCUUUCACAUGUGGGCAUUCCCCAACUCCUCCAUUCUACUACAAAUAGGGGAUUUAAUCCCAUUGUAGAGGCUCAAGCAGAUGGAAAUAUCCAAGGGAUAUCUGAUACUGGGAUAAAUCUACCCGAUCCCUGUGCAGAUUCUAUUCCAAGAUCUGUUGCAAUGUAUUCAUUGACAAACAGAAAGGCAAAUUUUCAGUUCUUACCAUCCUGUUCUGCUACAAAUACAGAAAAAAGUGCAAGGCAUCCAUUUCUGUCACAAGACACCACUCAAAGGCUCAACCAUUGUGCUUCACCUUACCCGUCACUUGGUCACCUGACUGCUAGGGAUUUAAUGAGCAGCAUAUGUCCCUCUGUUGAGUGGAAGAAGCAAAGAGAAGCUAUUUUCAGAGAUAAGUGCAUUGGUGAAGGUUUUAUUGGUUUGCCUCUUAAUUCACAGGGGGAACUGAUCCCUUUGCAUUCAAGUGGUAAAGCAGGGUUCCCACUGCAGAAGCAAAACACAAUUAUUGGGACUUCAAGCAUUUCCCCAAAGCAUCAUCUUCUGGAGACAAAGAGUGUAUUUGAUAAUUCACACUUGAAAGAGAAGGGUAUUGCUGAGACUGGACUUACCAGAGACAACUUAAAACUGGUUGCUGAGAAACCCUAUCAGAAAGAAAACUCUAAAGUAUCAUUUUCAUCUUUGUUAAGUAUUAGUGGAUUCCAAUAUACUGGAGGUGCAGAUGUUCACAGGCAUGAUUCAGUGAGGGGAAACAACCCCUCUGCCUAUCAAUUUGAUUCCGACCUGAACCUCGUUGACAUACCUUCUUCUGGGCAUAAGUAUACUUCAACUCCACAUCAAACUGAAGGUGAAAAGAUUCAACCAAAGGAAAUUCAGGACUGUGGGUUUCCGCUUACCACCCAACCAACAUUGCGGCUGAUGGGUAAAGAUGUUACAGUGGGUGUACGUAGCAAAGAAGUCCAAGGUUCUGAGGAUGGAAAGAUAUGGACAGAUAAGGAAAUUGUGUCAGAGCAUCGUCCUGCCAUUGUUGCACCAGGCAACUCUUCUCUGAAAGGACAUUUCCAGCCUGAAUUGGUUAUACUUCCAGUAUCAGAAGAAUUGAAAGAAACUAUAAUUUCUUCAUUUGAACCAAGAAGUUGUUCUCCCUUACAAAGUAUUUUUCAGGAGAAAAGGGUAGAGCCUAAAUCUGCUCACUCAUAUCUAGACUGGCAAACAUAUGUAAAAUCACAAAAUAGCUUUCCCAUGAUCAAUGGCAACCCAGAUGCACAAUUGCAAAACUUUGUCCAUCCUUGUCCUUCCCUAGAAUUGCCAAAUCAGAAAGUGAGGUCCUUGGAUCCCUGUAUUUCUGGAACUGAAUCUUUGAAAAUGAUCUCUCAAAUUCCAUCCCCUGCAUCAACUCCUUUUGAUGGUUGUCAGCAUAACCUUUUAAGUUCUGCCCAAUUCAACUGUAAACAGUGCUUGGAAUGUGGUACAAAACCAACUCUCCAGUUUCCCUUCUCCAAUCAAGAGUCUGGAGAGCAUUUGCAGCCAUCAUGUUCUCAAAGCUCUUCAGUGAACCUUCCCCAUUGGCUACUAAAUGCAACAGAGCAGAAAGGGAGUGACCUAACUUCUCAACCAUAUCCUAAUACAAGUGCUCAACCUCAUCCCAGUACCAUGUCUGGAACUAGGUUUCCAGCUAACCCUCCCCUUAAUAAGAAUUUGAUUAUGUCUUCUCACAACCCCAGCAAUUCUCACCCUUGCAUGAAGAGUUCAUCUUCUCUAGCCUCUUUAGUUUACCCUCCACUUAUCCCAGUCCCACCAGGAUACAAAUCUGCUUCCUUGUGGAAUACAACUUCCACAAACAGGACCAAGGAUGUAAGGAUGAAAAGUAUUCAUCCUGGAGAUCCUGACCAUGAAAAGAAAUUCAAAAAGAGAGCUGCUUCUAAAACAGACAAUUCAACAAAAGCUGCAAAGAAACCCACUUUAGAGAUGCAAGAGGUUCCAAGAUCUCCAAAAGAAUUGAAGAAAAAUAUGGAAUUCACUUGCCAUACACAAUAUAACAGAGAAUCAGCUGAAUCUGAUGUAUGUGGGGAGAAGGCAAGCAGCACCGGAUACUGUCCAGUGAAGAUUCAGGAUGAAUGUGGAAUGUCAUCUGAUCACAAUUCUUCUAAUCCGGAUGUUGUGACAAGAUCAGGUCCUAUUAAAUUAAGCGCAGGAGCAAAACACAUUCUGAAACCCCGUCAGAACAUGUCUCAGUAUAAUUCUAGACCAACUCAUUCAACCAUACCCUUUGGAGCUGUUAACACAACUGAUAAUAUUCCAGAAUUUCAGGAGACAUCAGCAAAGGUUUACAGGUUUUGAGAGUUGAGUUUUCUGUCUAAGAUAGGAAAAAAUUCCAAUUGACAAGUAUGCAUCAAUAUUUGUUUCAAAAUCAAAAGAAAUUUACUCAACUACAGGUUUUUGAACAGUAGCUCUGAUAAUGUUGUACUGUUUGGCUGCGAUCAAACUUCAAGAUACCAAAUGUCUGUCAUUUAAUUAUGCUUUCAAAUUCAAGUUUCUUAAUCAGGUUAAAUUUGAUUUCAUGGUAUCAGAGCAUUGAAGCCUGCUUGAUGUUGUUUCCUUCUAUUUUCCCUUCUCUGAUUUGCUCGAACAUUCUUUUUUUGAGCAUCCUAAAAUGUAGGAUCUAAUUGUAGAAAAUCUUCCCCUGGAGAGGGUAUCAAAGGCCCAAAAUAUGCCUUGUUAGGGUGAUACAAAUCAAAUCUAGAUGUUGAAAUCAAUAAAAAUCAGCAGCCCAACAGAAGAAAGAGUUUGAGAUUCAGCCUGACUGGAAGCAAUUAGGAGAUUCACUUAUUCAUCUCAUGCAGAUUUUCAAGAUUCCUAUGGAAAGUGUUUACUUCCAUGUUCAGGGUCUCUGACUUUCAUCCAACCUCAACAGCAGAGAUUUUUUCUACAUGGCCCAGGCUGACUGGGAGCAAGAAGGUGAAGAUAUUAUGGAAUUGCAUCCCAUUUGCAUAUGUUGGAACAUAUGGAAGGAAAGAAAUAGGACUUUCAAAGACAAGGCUUGUAGCAUGGAGAAGAUGGUUGCGGCUGUGGGCAGAACAGUGGUUGAAUGGGUGCUGAUUCUUCCUAAAUUCAGUCAAAUAAAAAAGGAGGAUUUUGGAGUAGGUUAGGAGAGGUCCUGGGAUAUCAGAUAUGUAAUGCAGAGCCUGUAAUCUAGUUUGAAAGAUGGCUUUUUUGUUUUCUUUGUUCUCGGGUGCUGACUUAACACCCUUACUUGUAUCUUCUUUUCAUUUAAUAAAAUUUUUUGCUAUUUACUUAUCAAAAAAAGUAAGGAGAUUAAGCUAUUUAUUUCAGCCCUAGAGUUGUUUACAAGUGGUAUUUGGGGUCUACUAGCAGAUUCAUGCCUCAGAGAUGUAAACACAUACUAGUGAUGUUACAUAUAUAGAUCAUAGGCCAGGAGACAUUGGAACAAGUCUUGAGAACUAAAUAUUACUAGCCUUCAGAUUACAAAUGUGAAGCUGGAUGAGUAUAAUUAUAGGGAGUGGUUUGUCUCAUCCAAGUUGUUUAUUACAGGUAGAAGUUUGUUUGGGUACAUCAAUGGCAAGGCCAAUGAACCCAAAGAAGAAGAACCUAGUAUAAAACUUGGCAUAGGGAGAAUGCAGUGGUGAUGUCAUGAAUUUUGUCUUCCAUGACCCCCAAGGUUUCAAGGACUGUUAACACUUUUUUACAGACUUUAAGAAUUGGGAAAAGAUUUCUAUUACAUAUGGACAGAGGAAGAACAAUGCAUGGGUGUACAAGUUGAUACAAGAUUUAACAGCUCAACAACGAGAUAUGUGAGUAGCUACUUUACUAACCUUGAAGGUCUCUGGGAAGCACUUGAUCAUAUCUUGGUUAUUGAUUGGGAUAGUGCCAGUGACAAGGAGUGCAUGAUAAGCAAGUUGAAGAAGGUAGGGCAUUCAAGUUUCUUGCUGGUUUAGAUCCUGAAGAAAAGAAGAGAUGCAGGUUGGUGUCUACUAGUUGAUGUGAAGAAUGGGAAACUAUCAACUUUUUCAAUAUUGGUGAAUUUGCCAAUUUUUUGUCAAAAUUUCCCUCUGUAGGCAAUACAAAAGAUUUUUGGUAUAUUUUUCUCUCACAUCACCAAUU